GGAUGCUCAGCUGGCUUCUUAAACGUGCCGAAGAUUAAGGGCACUCAUACAGCUAUGAAAUCAGGAAUGCUAGCGGCAGAAUCUGCAUUCAGCAUGCUCCAAGAAGGCUUGAAGAUGGAAAAUUAUUGGGACAAUUUACGAAGUUCAUGGAUAUGGGAAGAACUAUAUACUGCAAGGAACUAUCGCCCUGCAUUUGAAUAUGGGCUGUAUCCUGGUUUGGCUUUAAGUGCUGUAGAGCAUUACAUACUCAAGGGAAGAUCUCCAGUCACUCUUAAUCAUGGGAAACCUGAUCAUGAAGCAACAAGGGAAGCACAAUUGUUCUCGCCGAUUGAGUACCCAAAGCCAGAUGGUGUUGUUUCUUUUGAUGUACCGACCUCUCUGUACAGGAGCAACACAAAUCAUGAUCAUGACCAACCAUCUCAUCUUCAUCUGAAAGAUCCCACUGUUCCAGAAAAUGUCAACUUGCCCAAAUAUGCUGGACCUGAGGCACGAU
rnacentral:misc_RNA from 1 species